GUUUUCACUAAAUGGAUUUCGGAACAAUAUCACUUAAAUUGUUUCAUUGUUUCCAUAUUUCACUAUAUCCUUAUUUUUAGCUCACCUGGCCGAAAGGCCAAGUGAGCUUUUCUCAUCACUUGGCGUCCGGCGUCCGUCGUCGUCCGUCGUCGUCGUCGUCGUCGUCCGUCGUCCGUCGUCGUCGUCCGUCGUCCGUCGUCGUCGUCCGUCGUCCGUCGUCGUCCUGCGUUAACUUUUACAAAAAUCUUCUCCUCUGAAACUACUGGGCCAAAUUUAACCAAACUUGGCCACAAUCAUCAUUGGGGUAUCUAGUUUAAAAAAUGUGUCCGGUGACCCGGCCAACCAACCAAAAUGGCCGCCAUGGCUAAAAAUAGAACAUAGGGGUAAAAUGCAGUUUUUGGCUUAUAACUCAAAAACCAAAGCAUUUAGAGCAAAUCUGACAUGGCAUUAUUGUUCAUCAGGUCAAGAUCUAUCUGCCCUGAAAUUUUCAGAUGAAUCGGACAUUUCGUUGCUGGGUUGCUGCCCCUGAAAUGGUAAUUUUAAGGAAAUUUUGCUGUUUUUUUGUUCUUGGUUAUUAGCUUGAAUAUUAUUAUAGAUAGAGAUAAACUGUAAACAGCAAUAAUAUUCAGCAAAGUAAGAUCUACAAAUAAGUCAACAUGACCAAAAUGGUCAGUUGACCACUUUAGGAGUUAUUGCCCUUUAUAGUCAAUUUUUAACCAUUUUUCGUAAAUCUUAGUAAUCUUUUAGAAAAAUCUUCUCCUCUGAAACUACUUGGCC
rnacentral:lncRNA from 1 species